UGUUGUUUGGCCUGGGUAAGGUCUUGUAAACUAAAUUUAUGUGGUGAUAAGUGAGUCGUAAAGCUUUAUAACUGUUUGGUUGUUUAGAAUUUAGUGGGAUGUAGGUGGCUAUUAGGUCAUUUAUAUUUUUAUACAUUUGGUGAUGUGUGGUUUUUGAUAAGGUUAGAGGUACCUAGUUUUUGUUAUAUUGUUGUAAAUAUGGUUUUGUUGGUUUAUUGGUAUGUUAAUUGUUUGAACAACUGUUUUGCUAUAUUUGGUUAUUAUAUUAUCGUUGAAUAAGUAAUUUUAUUAUGCUAUUUAUUUCUUGAGUUCUUUCCGUCUGUUUAUUAAAAACAUUUCUAAUUUUAAUUGUAGUUAGUAGUGCCUGCCCAAUGUUGGUUAAUUAAUGGCCGCAGUAUAUUGACUGUGCAAAGGUAGCAUAAUUAAUUGCCUUUUAAUUGGAGGCUUGUUUGAAUGGUUUGACGUGAUUGGUAUGAAUAUUUGGUAUUUAGUUGAAAUUGAUUUUGAGGGUUUAGAAUCCUUGAUGUUUAAUAAGACGGAAAGACCCUAGGAUCUUUUGUUUUUGUUUGGGGCAAAUAUUGUUGUUUUAUGAAUAUUGUGACCCUGAGAUGAUAUUGGUUUAUUGGGUUAAG
rnacentral:rRNA from 1 species